rnacentral:rRNA from 1 species
CCCUUAGAAGUUCUGGGCUACACGCGUGUUACACUGAUAUGUUCAACAAGUUAAAAUAUUCCUUGCCCGACGGGGCUGGGUAAUCUUUUAAAAGCAUGUCGUGAUGGGGAUAGAGCAUUGUAAUUAUUGCUCUUGAACGAGGAAUUCCUAGUAAGUGCAAGUCAUUAACUUGCGCUGAUUACGUCCCUGCCCUUUGUACACACCGCCCGUCGCUCCUACCGAUUGAGUGGUCCGGUGAGGCUUUGGGAUCUGAGCGGAAAGAGCGUUUCGCUGUUUCUGCUCGGAAAACUCAGUCGAACCUUAUCAUUUAGAGGAAGGAGAAGUCGUAACA